GUCGCACGCUCCACCCGCGAGGGUGGGGAGUGGCGGACGGGUGAGGAACACGUACCUGACCUGCCGAUGAGCGGGGGAUACCCCGGGGAAACCCGAGCCAAUACCGCAUGUGGUCUCUGUCAUGCGUGGCAGAGAGUAAACCUGUCUUCGCAAGAGGAGGGGGCUCAUCCAGGGGGGUGCGGCCGAUUAGCUGGUUGGUGGGGUAACGGCCUACCAAGGCGACGAUCGGUAGCUGGUCUGAGAGGACGGCCAGCCACACGGGGACUGAGACACGGCCCCGACUCCUACGGGAGGCAGCAGCGAGGAAUCUUGGGCAAUGGGCGCAAGCCUGACCCAGCGACGCCGCGUGGGGGAUGACGGCUCUCGGGUUGUAAACCCCUUUUGCACGGGACGAAGCCUGCCCGCGAGGGGAGGUUGACGGUACCGUGCGAAUCCCCACGGCUAACUACGUGCCAGCAGCCGCGGUAAUACGUAGGUGGCAAGCGUUGUCCGGAUUUACUGGGCGUAAAGCGCGCGCAGGCGGUUGUCUAAGUCCGGUGUGAAAGCCCCCGGCUCACCUGGGGGAGGGCUCUGGAGACUGGAUGACUGGAGGCAGGCAGAGGCCGGUGGAAUUCCCGGUGUACUGGUGAAAUGCGUAGAGAUCGGGAGGAAACCCGUGGCGAACGCGGCCGGCUGGGCCUGUUCUGACGCUGAGGAGCAAAAGCGUGGGGAGCGAACCGGAUUAGAUACCCGGGUAGUCCACGCUGUAAAAAUGACCCUACGUGUGGGGGUAUCGACCCCUCCGUGCCGUCGCUAAGCAUUAAUGGUCCCCUGGGAGUACCGCCCUAUGCUAAACUCAAUGGAUUGACGGGG
rnacentral:rRNA from 1 species